AUUGAACGCUGGCGGCAUGCCUUACACAUGCAAGUCGAACGGCAGCGGGGACUUCGGUCCGCCGGCGAGUGGCGAACGGGUGAGUAAUGUAUCGGAACGUACCUUUCAGUGGGGGAUAACGCAGCGAAAGUUACGCUAAUACCGCAUAUUCUCUGAGGAGGAAAGCAGGGGACCUUCGGGCCUUGUGCUGAUGGAGCGGCCGAUAUCAGAUUAGCUAGUUGGUGAGGUAAAGGCUCACCAAGGCGACGAUCUGUAGCGGGUCUGAGAGGAUGAUCCGCCACACUGGGCAUCGGAAACGGCCCAGACUCCUACGGGAGGCAGCAGUGGGGAAUUUUGGACAAUGGGCGCAAGCCUGAUCCAGCCAUGCCGCGUGAGUGAAGAAGGCCUUCGGGUUGUAAAGCUCUUUCGGACGGGAAGAAAUUGGUGGGGCUAAUAUCCCCAUCGGAUGACGGUACCGUAAUAAGAAGCACCGGCUAACUACGUGCCAGCCGCCGCAGUAAUAC
rnacentral:rRNA from 1 species